rnacentral:rRNA from 1 species
UGCCAGACUCCUACGGGAGGCAGCAGUGGGGAAUAUUGCACAAUGGGGGGAACCCUGAUGCAGCGACGCCGCGUGGGUGAAGGAGCACCUCGGUGCGUAAAGCCCUGUCGGCAGGGAAGAAACAGACGGUACCUGACUAAGAAGCCCCGGCUAACUACGUGCCAGCAGCCGCGGUAAUACGUAGGGGGAAAGCGUUAUCCGGAUUCACUGGGUGUAAAGGGAGCGUAGACGGCGACGCAAGUCUGGAGUGAAAGCCCGGGGCCCAACCCCGGGACUGCUCUGGAAACUGCGGCGCUGGAGUACGGGAGGGGCAGGCGGAAUUCCUGGUGUAGCGGUGAAAUGCGUAGAUAUCAGGAGGAACACCAGUGGCGAAGGCGGCCUACUGGACGGUGACUGACGCUGAGGCUCGAAAGCGUGGGGAGCAAACAGGAUUAGAUACCCCCGUAUGC